GAUGAACGCUGGCGGCGUGCCUAAUACAUGCAAGUCGAGCGAACGGAGGUGUAUCUUGUGUUUCUGAUGUUAGCGGCGGGCGAGUGAGUAACACUUGGAGAACCUAACUAGAAGACUGGGAUUACUUCUGGAAACCGGAGCUAAUACCGGAUAAUAGUAUGAACCGGAGGGUUCACUAGUGAAAGAUUGUCUUGUUGGUACUUAUAUAUGUAUCCGCGCUGCAUUUGCUAGUUGGUAAGGUAACGGCUUACCAAUGCAACGAUGCAUAGCCGACCUGAGAGGGUGAUAGGCCACACUGGAACUGAGACACGGUCCAGACUCCUACGGGAGGCAGCCGUAGGGAAUCUUCCGCAAUGGGCGAAAGCCUGACGGAGCAACGCCGCGUGAGUGAUGAAGGUCUUCGGAUCGUAAAACUCUGUUAUUAGGGAAGAACAUAUGUGUAAGUAACUGUGCACAUCUUGACGGUACCUAAUCAGAAAGCCACGGCUAACUACGUG
rnacentral:rRNA from 1 species